rnacentral:rRNA from 1 species
AUUGAACGCUGGCGGCAGGCUUAACACAUGCAAGUCGAGCGGAGACUUCGGUCUUAGCGGCGAACGGGUGAGUAAUACCUAGGAAUCUGCCUAUUAGUGGGGGAUAACGAAUCGAAAGGUUCGCUAAUACCGCAUACGUCCUACGGGAGAAAGGGGGGGAGUCUUCGGACCUCUCGCUAAUAGAUGAGCCUAGGCCGGAUUAGCUAGUUGGUAGGGUAAAGGCCUACCAAGGCGACGAUCUGUAGCUGGUCUGGGAGGAUGGCCAGCCACACUGGAACUGAGACACGGUCCAGACUCCUACGGGAGGCAGCAGUGGGGAAUAUUGGACAAUGGGGGCAACCCUGAUCCAGCCAUGCCGCGUGUGUGAAGAAGGCC